AAAUCCUAUGAAUCAAUGAGAACCAGUUAUCAUACAAAUGCAAACAACAAGUGACGAGGCUAUGCCCAAUUUUUUUUAAUACACACAAAAAAGGUCAAAUACACAGCAAAUGUCAUUCAUCUGACAUCAUUAUUUGCUUUAUUUAAUUAUUUCUCCAUUAUGAAAAUGGUCUUACACUUAAGGCCUAGGUACUUGCCGCGGGUGGAGGUGGUAGCUUUAUUUCUGGAACAUGAUAACCUGCAAAAUUUCAUUCUUCACAUCAUAAUGAUGAACAUGAGAAAUUAUAUAAAGUGUGUGUGUGUGUGUAUAUAUAUAUAUAUAUAUGUGUGUGUGUGUGUGUGUGUGUGUGUGUGUGUGUGUGUGUGUGUGUGUUUGUGUGUUUGUGUGUGUUUGCGCAAAUAUAUGACAAUAUACCAACCUGCACAGUGAGUGCAUGUGUGCAACCCAUUGCCGCAUACAUGUGUAGCCAUGGCAAACUUGGCUAGACUGAGCAAAGUCAGUUCAUGAGCGGUGAACCGAUCACAGACGCAGUGGAUGUCUUUUGCAUCUCUUAUUGUAUUGCAACAUGCGCUACGGAGUGGCGGGUACUGGUCACCAAGUUUCUUUUCGAUGUGAUGCCAACAGUCUCGCAUCACCUUUUUUUUAUCAAGGAGGCAGUGAUCUAUGUCGUUGGCUGCUCGUGCAUGGAGCGAACAAGAAGAGAGAGCCACAAGCACUAGGAAGCAUAACACUCCAGCUACUUUUCCGUUGUUCAUGAUCUAUGUUGUGUAGCACUAUUGGUAUGUGUUUAUGCAGGACUUCUGUGCCACUCAGUCUCUAUAUAUAGUGGUCAUAGUGAAGCUUUUAGACUCCAUUCGCUCAUCAAUCGCUUAAUUGGACUCUUUUAACUAAGUGAGAGAUAUAUGACUUGGAUAUGUUAUAAUCUAAUGUUUGCACAUUUAUAUCUUGUAUAAAGUUGUUGGCAAUGGAUGUGGAUGCAACCUAUUAAUUAUUGGCAAUGGAGUAGUUGAUUUCGAACUCUUAACAGAUAUGUGUACAUAAUUUGGGUAUGUUCAUAAUUAAUGUAGGGACAUGUGUGGUCCUUGUAGUAUCACAUCGAUAGUAAAGGAUACUUCUAAUUAAAUAUAGCUAGGUGCAUCCAUUUCUUGUAUCAUAUUGAUGGUAACGGAUAUGUAGAUAAGCCUAUUUAUUUGUCUAUCUAUCUAUAUAUCUAUCUCUAUCACUAUCUCUAUCUCUAUCUCUAUCUCCAUCUAUCUAUCUAUCUAUCUAUCUACCUAUCCAUAUCUAUAUCUAUCUCUAUCUCUAUCUCUAUCUCUAUCUCUAUCUAUCUAUCUAUCUAUUUAUCUAUCUAUCUAUGUCUAUAUCUAUCUGAUACUAAUAACAGACUCCCUACAUAUUAAAACAUUAAUCAGUGAAAACAAGAAAUAGAAACCAGUGAUUUUAGCUUGCCUGAAUUACUACGAUUACGAUCUAUUAAUAAAUCCAUUGGAUAUUUCAAUUGAAAAACAGAACUUGGAUCUCAAUCAGGGAAAAAAAGGAAAAGAUAUGAUGCAAUCUAAACAACCGUUCAGAUUUGACACGGUAGCUGAGACGUCAUGCAAUUGUCAAAAUCAUGAUCGUGUUUCUUUGUGACUAACCAAGAUACGACCUGAUUCGUAUAUCUCCAGCCAAUUUGCAGUCCAUCAAUUAUUCCAUUGCCAUCUCAUGGCCUUGGCUUGGACGAACUAGGCCACAUGAUAAAGCAGUCCCAAUGUAAUCUCUGUGACCUUCUCAGCAUUCGCCAUGCCUGUUCCUAGCCAUGGAUAUCUGCCGGCACCAACCAGCACACAAACUGUAAGUAGAGAAGACAAUCGAGGGUUAUGGUUAUAGGGAUUUACACAUAGUUUUCUUAUCUUUUAGAUACACUGAGGAUGUUGUUACAGUGAUGGAACAUACGUUUGGCUACCUAUAUGCUCAACAUAGGGUGGUGCAUAUUUGAUUCCAUCAAUAAUUUAACGCACUAACCGACAUGGAAUCUUUCUUUGUCUUUUGUUCUUUUUUACAUCCUCCGCUAGUUCUUGCAAUCUUCUAAAUAACUCACGUUCAGUUGGUAACUAUUUGUUCAUAGAGUUCUUUCAUGAUCAGUAGAAACUUGAUAUGUGUUGACACUGGCAUUGGCGGCCCAAAAUAAGAAUAUGAAAAUGUUGCGUUAAUUAUUUCUCCAUUAUUCUUUGCUUUAUUUUAUUAUUUCUCCAUUAUGAAAAUGGUCUUACACUUAAGGCCUAGGUACUUGCCGCGGGUGGAGGUGGUAGCUUUAUUUCUGGAACAUGAUAACCUGCAAAAUUUCAUUCUUCACAUCAUAAUGAUGAACAUGAGAAAUUAUAUAAAGUGUGUGUGUGUGUGUGUGUGUGUGUGUGUGUGUGUGUGUGUGUGUGUGUGUGUAUUUGUGUGUGUGUUUGUGUGUUUGUGUGUGUUUGCGCAAAUAUAUGACAAUAUACCAACCUGCACAGUGAGUGCCUGUGUGCAACCCAUUGCCGCAUACAUGUGUAGCCAUGGCAAACUUGGCUAGACAGAGCAAAGUCAGUUCGUGAGCGGUGAACCGAUCACAGACGCAGUGGAUGUCU
rnacentral:lncRNA from 1 species